rnacentral:rRNA from 1 species
AAUGAACGUUGGCGGCGUGGAUUAGGCAUGCAAGUCGAGCGAGAAAUUAAUUGUUGAAGCUUCGGUGGAUUCAGUUAAUGGAAAGCGGCAAACGGCGUAGUAAUGCGUAGGUACGUACCCUCAGGUCGGGAAUAGCCAUGGGAAACCGUGGGUAAUGCCCGAUGAUGUCUUUGGACCAAAGGUGUGAUUCCGCCUGAGGAGCGGCUUACGUGAUAUUAGCUUGUUGGUGGGGUAAUGGCCUACCAAGGCGACGAUGUCUAGGGGGUGUGAGAGCAUGGCCCCCACGACCGGAACUGAGACACUGUCCGGACACCUACGGGUGGCUGCAGUCGAGAAUCUUCCGCAAUGGGCGAAAGCCUGACGGAGCGACGCCGCGUGCGGGAUGAAGGCCCUUGGGUUGUAAACCGCUGUCAGAGGGGAUGAAAUCAUGGUUGGCUAUCCUUCCAUGUUGACAGAGCCUCAGAGGAAGCACGGGCUAAGUACG